GUUCAACACAUGCCAAACAGCCAGUGGACCGCAACGGAUUGCAGGGGAGAUGAUGUUAACACUGGCACACAACCUGCCAGCAUACUGC